UACAGAGGGGGCAAGCGUUGUUCGGAAUUACUGGGCGUAAAGGGCGCGUAGGCGGCCUGCUAAGUCAAACGUGAAAUCCCUCGGCUCAACCGAGGAACUGCACUCGAUACUGGUUGGCUAGAGUCCGGGAGGGGAUGGUGGAAUUCCCAGUGUAGCGGUGAAAUGCGUAGAUAUUGGGAAGAACACCGGUGGCGAAGGCGGCCAUCUGGACCGGAACUGACGCUGAGGCGCGAAAGCCAGGGGAGCGAAUGGG
rnacentral:rRNA from 1 species